GCCUCGGUAGUGUAAUGGUAAGCAUGGCAGACCGGAUAUCUGUAAGUGCGGGUUCGAGUCCCGCCUGAGGUU
rfam:Dictyocaulus viviparus strain HannoverDv2000 D_viviparus-1.0_Cont61.5, whole genome shotgun sequence.